rnacentral:rRNA from 1 species
UGAGGAAUUUUGGUCAAUGGGGGAAACCCUGAACCAGCGACGCCGCGUGCAGGAUGAAGGAGCUUUGCUCUGUAAACUGCUGUCGGAUGGGAAAAAAAGCGGGUCUUAUCCGCUGGGAUUGUACCAUCAAAGGAAGGAUCGGCUAACUACGUGCCAGCAGCCGCGGUAAUACGUAGGAUCCAAGCGUUGUCCGGAUUUACUGGGUGUAAAGGGUGCGUAGGCGGAUUCGUGCGUCAGAGGUUAAAUCUCCCGGCUUAACCGGGAACCUGCCUUUGAUACGGCGAGUCUUGAGUGCGAGAGAGGACGGUAGAAUUCCUGGUGUAGCAGUGAAAUGCGUAGAUAUCAGGAGGAAUACCAGUGGCGAAGGCGGCCGUCUGGCUCGCAACUGACGCUCAGGCACGAAAGCGUGGGGAGCAAACAGG